rnacentral:tRNA from 3 species
GGGCCUGUAGCUCAGUUGGUAGAGCACUCGCUUUGCAUGCGAGUUGUCAGGGGUUCGAAUCCCCUCAGGUCCA